AGAAUCAACGCUGGCGGCGUGCCUAACACAUGCAAGUCGCACGAGAAAGAGACUUCGGUCUUGAGUAAAGUGGCGCACGGGUGAGUAACACGUGAAUCAUCUACCUUCGAGUGUGGAAUAACUGAGAGAAAUCUUAGCUAAUACCGCAUAAUACCUACGGGUCAAAGCAGCAAUGCGCUUGAAGAGGAGUUCGCGGCAGAUUAGCUAGUUGGCGGGGUAAUGGCCCACCAAGGCGAUGAUCUGUAUCCGGCCUGAGAGGGCGCACGGACACACUGGAACUGAAACACGGUCCAGACUCCUACGGGAGGCAGCAGUGGGGAAUUUUGCGCAAUGGGGAAACCCUGACGCAGCAACGCCGCGUGGAGGAUGAAAUAUCUUGGUAUGUAAACUCCUUUCGAUGGGGAAGAUAAUGACGGUACCCAUAGAAGAAGCCCCGGCUAACUUCGUGCCAGCAGCCGCGGUAA
rnacentral:rRNA from 1 species